rnacentral:lncRNA from 1 species
GUCCAGGGUGGGUCUUGUACCAGCUGAAAGGUUAUACAUGUCUGCCUCCUGGGGGAAUGACAGCGAAGAGCCCAGUCAUCUUAAAAGAAAUGGAAGCCUACAUACUGGAGAGAAGCUCUUCAAAUGUAAUCUAUGUGACAAGCAUUUUCUUAACAUUAUUAAUCUACACCUACAAAUUUAUAAAGGAAGACACACUGGAGAGAAAAAUCCCCCAAAAUCAUGAAUGUUAAAAAGCCUUUUUACAAUGCCUUCACUGUUAAAAAUAUAUAUGAACAUGCUGAUGAGAAACCCUUUGAAUGUGAUCAUAGUCUUAAUCAUCAUGAACAUAUUUGUAUUGGCGAGAAACAUGAAUAUAAGCAUGAUGGUAAAGCCUAUGCCCAGUACAGUUAUCUCCUAAUGCAGCAAGGAGCACAUCCUGGAAAGAGGGAGGGAAGGAGGGACUGAGGGAAUGAGGGAGUAAGGGAGAGACACCUUAUGAAUGGACAUUAUAUGGUAUUCCUUUGCAUAUCACAGUCAUCUUUUUUUUUUUUUUGAAAAGCGAGAC